UAUCAGUGUUUCAUUUAGAUUCUAAAAGGCUAUUCUUGUAACUCGUCCCUCCAAACAGACGCAUAAAAUGAUCUUUGACAUAAACGGCAAACAACUUGAACGUCUAUAUAUGCGCUGAUCAGUUUUGUCCCGUCUGCACAGCGCCGCAUUUCAGUCACUAAAAGCGCGCGAGCGCCGCUGUUUAAACUUCAACGGUUCACGGUGGACUGACUGCGCUCAGCGCUCGGGAGAACGACGAUUACAUUGAAGCUAAAAGAAGAAAGGUGGUUUAUCGCGUUGUCCAGGCCAGCGCAAUUCUCCGCCGGGAGGUAUGUCAUUUUUAACAUGAAUCCCUAAAGUAUCUUGAUAAAACUGUUGUGAAUUGAUCAAUAAUGCUGGCGAGAGUUCAUGUUAUAGCCUAACGUAAUACUGUUUUUCCCUGUAGAGUGUAUUGGACCUAUAUGUAUAGAGCUUGGGAACCUACAUCACGCUGCGUCGGAUUCCGCCAUGAUUUAGAUGUUCAUCUAUCUCAGAGAGCACUGUUAAAGUUAUAGCACCACCUUAUCAGAGAGCUGAAAAGUGGAAGUCAGAGGAAACAUGACCAACCUGCUGCAAAACAAUAACACAAAAGUGCAGGUCUGGACUCUGGAGUGCAGCAUUACUUGUUUGGUCAUCUACAUUCAGAUGAAAACACCACACUUCUCUCUAAUUCAAGAUGUCAAGCCUACUCAUCGCAAAGAGAGUUAACAUCAGAAUGGAUGUGUCACUGACCAAUAACACAGAGAUGCAGUCUACUUUUUGUUCAGUAUGGAGCAUCCAAAAGACAUCACUCAGUUCAUUUCAAUCAGUACUAUUUAGCCCUUCCCAGUGCUGAAAUUGUCAUGGGUCCUUUGUUUUUAUUGUUUAAAUGCUUAUCUGAAUGUAAAAUGAAUAUUUAAUGCUUAUAAAUUAAAAAAAAAAAAAACAAUACUGUAGUUCCCUUUGUAGAAACAUAUGGUUCACCAUAAUCUUUCAUGGGUUACAGAACUGGGGAAAGUUGCAGCAUAAAAAUAAAAUAAAAAAAAGUCAGACUACUUGGUUUAUAGGGGAAUGUGGAGUAAAUAUUUGACAUUUAUUUAAGGUAAAGGGUAAUGACCUGGUGGUGAGAUGCAAAAUAAGAGUGUCAUUAAUAUACUUAUUUGAUGACAAUUUUCACAUUCUAAUUUUACUUACGCAUUUAAUUUUUUUAGUUAAGUUAACAUUCAUUUGUGGUUUCUAGCAAUCAACAUAUAUUUGUGACUGACAUGUUGGAUGGGUAAGUAAGGUGGAGGGGGUUGAAAAUAAAAUUCUAAAAUGGAGAGUGCUAUUUUAGACAGGUAAAAAUAAUUUUUUAAAAAGUACAAAUAAAUAAAGAAACAUGGAUUUAUGUUAAUCCCUGUAACUGUUGCACUAUGAAUUGCUGUGUUAUAUAUUGCUCGUCAUUGUAAAUGCUAAUAAAAGUGUC